GAGACAGCAGCCGCCGCGGGAAUACGGAGGGUGCGAGCGUUAUCCGGAUUUACUGGGUUUAAAGGGUGCGCAGGCGGGUUAUUAAGUCAGGGGUGAAAUCUGUGGGCUCAACCCACAAACUGCCUUUGAUACUAUUAACCUUGAAUGUCGCUGAGGACAGCGGAAUGGGGCAUGUAGCGGUGAAAUGCAUAGAUAUGCCCCGGAACACCGAUUGCGAAGGCAGCUGUCUAAAGGACGAUUGACGCUGAGGCACGAAAGCGUGGGUAGCGAACAGGAUUAGAUACCCGGGUAGUCCCUGUCUCUUAUAC
rnacentral:rRNA from 1 species